AGUGAACGCUGGCGGUAGGCCUAACACAUGCAAGUCGAACGGCAGCACAGUAAGAGCUUGCUCUUACGGGUGGCGAGUGGCGGACGGGUGAGGAAUACAUCGGAAUCUACUUUUUCGUGGGGGAUAACGUAGGGAAACUUACGCUAAUACCGCAUACGACCUACGGGUGAAAGUAGGGAUUCUUCGACCUUUCCCCAUUUAAUUAGCCGAUGUCGGAUUAGCUAGUUGGCGGGGUAAAGGCCCACCAAGGCGACGAUCCGUAGCUGGUCUGAGAGGAUGAUCAGCCACACUGGAACUGAGACACGGUCCAGACUCCUACGGGAGGCAGCAGUGGGGAAUAUUGGACAAUGGGCGCAAGCCUGAUCCAGCCAUACCGCGUGGGUGAAGAAGGCCUUCGGGUUGUAAAGCCCUUUUGUUGGGAAAGAAAAGCAGCAGGUUAAUACCCCGCUGUUCUGACGGUACCCAAAGAAUAAGCACCGGCUAACUUCGUG
rnacentral:rRNA from 1 species